GAAAUCUGGCACCUUCGGUGUCCGAGUUGUAAUUUGAAGAAGGUAACUUUGGAGUUGGCUCUUGUCUAUGUUCCUUGGAACAGGACGUCACAGAGGGUGAGAAUCCCGUGCGAUGAGAUGUCCAACUCUAUGUAAAGUGCUUUCGAAGAGUCGAGUUGUUUGGGAAUGCAGCUCUAAGUGGGUGGUAAAUUCCAUCUAAAGCUAAAUAUUGGCGAGAGACCGAUAGCGAACAAGUACAGUGAUGGAAAGAUGAAAAGAACUUUGAAAAGAGAGUGAAAAAGUACGUGAAAUUGUUGAAAGGGAAGGGUUUGAGAUCAGACUUGGUAUUUUGUAUGUCUUGCUUUCGGGUGGGGCCUCUGCAGUUUACUGGGCCAGCAUCGGUUUGGACGGUAGGAUAAUGACAUUGGAAUGUGGCACUACUUCGGUGGUGUGUUAUAGACUUUGUUGAUACUGCCUGUCUAGACCGAGGACUGCGUCUUUGACUAGGAUGCUGGCAUAAUGAUCCUAAACC
rnacentral:rRNA from 1 species